GACGAACGCUGGCGGCGUGCUUAACACAUGCAAGUCGAACGGAAAGGCUCUGCUUUUGUGGGGUGCUCGAGUGGCGAACGGGUGAGUAACACGUGAGUAACCUGCCCUUGACUUUGGGAUAACUUCAGGAAACUGGGGCUAAUACCGGAUAGGAGCUCCUGCUGCAUGGUGGGGGUUGGAAAGUUUCGGCGGUUGGGGAUGGACUCGCGGCUUAUCAGCUUGUUGGUGGGGUAGUGGCUUACCAAGGCUUUGACGGGUAGCCGGCCUGAGAGGGUGACCGGCCACAUUGGGACUGAGAUACGGCCCAGACUCCUACGGGAGGCAGCAGUGGGGAAUAUUGCACAAUGGGCGGAAGCCUGAUGCAGCAACGCCGCGUGCGGGAUGACGGCCUUCGGGUUGUAAACCGCUUUCGCCUGUGACGAAGCGUGAGUGACGGUAAUGGGUAAAGAAGCACCGGCUAACUACGAG
rnacentral:rRNA from 1 species